GUAGAUCGCAAUGUGAUCUCAUUGUUUUGGUUACAGUUAUCAUUUUGGAGCAUGUUUUUGAAGUCAAGCAACUUCUGAAUUUUUUUCCCGUUAUAUAUCAUCUGGUGUUCUGCUUGCUCAAACCAACUCUAUGAGAUAGGUUAUGAAGAAGUUGAGCAAUUUACCUGAGGAUCCUCUGUUUUCAAAACACACGCCUGCCUACCUACUUAAUCCUGAUAAUUAGAAUUAAGCAUCUCAGUGCAAUAAAUAUAUCUUCUUGCAAAUUUAAUGGCAUAGAGAUCUAAAGUAGUAAUGGUGACGGCUCUGACCAGAAUCCCGAUCCAACAGAGAAACAUCAAUCCUCUUUGGGAUCUGCUGGAUCAGCAGCAGCAUUCACACAACACUGUGAACAGCCAGGACAGCAGCUAAGCACUUUCUUAUUCUUUAUUAUUGAAUGCAUGGUUAAAACCAAAUAUUCAGCCAAAUAUUCUAUGUGACCUUGAGAAUCUCAAUAGAUCUAAUAAGCAUUCCAUUAGCUAAGAAAAGUGUGACUUGAAAUAGAUUUAAACCCAAAAAUCUCAGUGAGGGGGAAAAAAAACAGAAAAGAAGGAACAAAAGCUGUUAAUAAUCACAGGUUAU
rnacentral:lncRNA from 1 species